rnacentral:rRNA from 1 species
GGGGCCUACGGGGCGCAGCAGUGGGGAAUAUUGCACAAUGGGGGAAACCCUGAUGCAGCGACGCCGCGUGAAGGAAGAAGUAUUUCGGUAUGUAAACUUCUAUCAGCAGGGAAGAAAAUGACGGUACCUGACUAAGAAGCCCCGGCUAACUACGUGCCAGCAGCCGCGGUAAUACGUAGGGAGCGAGCGUUGUCCGGAUUUACUGGGUGUAAAGGGUGCGUAGGCGGGUAAGCCAGUCAGAAGUGAAAUCCAUGGGCUUAACCCAUGAACUGCUUUUGAAACUGUUUAUCUUGAGUGAAGUAGAG